rnacentral:rRNA from 1 species
AUAUCAAUAAGCGGAGGAAAAGAAACCAACAGGGAUUACCCUAGUAACGGCGAGUGAAGCGGUAACAGCUCAAAUUUGAAAUCUGACCUUCACGGGUUCGAGUUGUAAUUUGUAGAGGAUGUUUCGGAUAAGGCUUUGGUUUAAGUUUCUUGGAACAGAACGUCAUAGAGGGUGAGAGUCCCGUCUAGAACCGAUAGCCGCGUCCAUGUGAAACUCCUUCGACGAGUCGAGUUGUUUGGGAAUGCAGCUCAAAAUGGGUGGUAAAUUUCAUCUAAAGCUAAAUACUGGCCAGAGACCGAUAGCGCACAAGUAGAGUGAUCGAAAGAUGAAAAGCACUUUGGAAAGAGAGUUAAACAGUACGUGAAAUUGUUGAAAGGGAAGCGCUUGCAACUAGACUUGCAUGCAGUCGAUCAUCCGAUGUUCUCACCGGUGCACUCGAUUGCAUUCAGGCCAGCAUCGGUUUCGGUGGUUAGAUAAAGGCCUUGGGAAUGUAGCUUCUCUCGGGGAGUGUUAUAGCCCAAGGUGCAAUGUAGCCUACCGGGACCGAGGACCGCGCUUCGGCUAGGAUGCUGGCGUAAUGGUUGUAAGCGA